rnacentral:rRNA from 1 species
CCUACGGGAGGCAGCAGUAGGGAAUUUUCGUCAAUGGGCGCAAGCCUGAACGAGCAAUGCCGCGUGAACGAGGAAGGUCUUCGGAUCGUAAAGUUCUGUUGAAGGGGAAAAAGAGCGGAGAGAGGAAAUGGUCUCCGAUUGAUAUUACCCUUCGAGGAAGUCACGGCUAACUACGUGCCAGCAGCCGCGGUAAUACGUAGGUGGCGAGCGUUAUCCGGAAUGAUUGGGCGUAAAGGGUGCGUAGGCGGCCUGCUAAGUCUGGAGUGAAAGGUACCGGCUCAACCGGUACAGGCUCUGGAAACUGGGGGGCUAGAGAGGAGGAGAGGGCGGUGGAACUCGAUGUGUAGCGGUAAAAUGCGUAGAUAUGUGGAAGAACACCAGUGGCGAAGGCGGCCGCCUGGCCUGUUGACUGACGCUGAGGCACGAAGGCGUGGGGAGCAAAUAGGAUUAGAUACCCGGGUAGUC